rnacentral:rRNA from 1 species
ACGCUAGCUACAGGCUUAACACAUGCAAGUCGAGGGGAAACGACAUCGAAAGCUUGCUUUUGAUGGGCGUCGACCGGCGCACGGGUGAGUAACGCGUAUCCAACCUGCCCACCACUUGGGGAUAACCUUGCGAAAGUAAGACUAAUACCCAAUGACGUCUCUAGAAGACAUCUGAAAGAGAUUAAAGAUUUAUCGGUGAUGGAUGGGGAUGCGUCUGAUUAGCUUGUUGGCGGGGUAACGGCCCAUCAAGGCGACGAUCAGUAGGGGUUCUGAGAGGAAGGUCCCCCACAUUGGAACUGAGACACGGUCCAAACUCCUACGGGAGGCAGCAGUGAGGAAUAUUGGUCAAUGGACGAGAGUCUGAACCAGCCAAGUAGCGUGCAGGAUGACGGCCCUAUGGGUUGUAAACUGCUUGUAUAAGGGAAUAAAGUGAGUCUCGUGAGACUUUUUGCAUGUACCUUAUGAAUAAGGACCGGCUAAUUCCGUGCCAGCAGCCGCGGUAAUACGGAAGGUCCGGGCGUUAUCCGGAUUUAUUGGGUUUAAAGGGAGCGUAGGCCGGAGAUUAAGCGUGUUGUGAAAUGUAGACGCUCAACGUCUGCACUGCAGCGCGAACUGGUUUCCUUGAGUACGCACAAAGUGGGCGGAAUUCGUGGUGUAGCGGUGAAAUGCUUAGAUAUCACGAAGAACUCCGAUUGCGAAGGCAGCUCACUGGAGCGCAACUGACGCUGAAGCUCGAAAGUGCGGGUAUCGAACAGGAUUAGAUACCCUGGUAGUCCGCACGGUAAACGAUGGAUGCCCGCUGUUGGUCUGAAUAGGUCAGCGGCCAAGCGAAAGCAUUAAGCAUCCCACCUGGGGAGUACGCCGGCAACGGUGAAAC